rnacentral:lncRNA from 1 species
GCCUGCCAAGGUAACACUGUUUUAGCACCUGGAACUAAGUCGGAAAAUAAAUUAACUAAAUGAACAAGGCCAUUGGAGAUGGUGCUCCGUGCCACGAAGAAAAUGAAACGAGGAAUUAAAUUUUGUUCAGACAUCCACUCUUCACCUUCCCAGCCCCUGUUUGCCUGUAACUACAAAGCAGAGGCAGGGAGAAAGACACAUGGGCAGGAGAAUACCACAUGGAGACACAGACACACGAGGGGAGGAUGCCUGCUGACCAUGGAGGCAGAAGUGGGACUGACGCAUCGAUCAGCUGAGGGAUGCCAAGCACUGCCAGCAAACACCAGAGGCUUGAUGGGGGCGAGUAUUCUCCUGUGCAGGUAUCAGAGGGAGCCUGGCCUUGCAGAUACCUUGAUUCCUGACUUCUGGCCUCUAAAAUGUCCAAUGUGAGUCAGGCAUCUCUCCUGGUGGCUGUCUUCCAUGUGGUGACUUAUGUAUCCAGGAUCCUUCUACUGUGUUUCUCCUCCAUUGCGAAGUCCUUCACUUCCAGCACCUGAGACAUUUUUUGGGUAUAUCUACAAGUGGCAUAUAUCACUUCUGCCCACAUUCACCUGGGUAGAACUCAAUCACAUUGUUUCACCUAACUGCAAGUGAGGCUGUGGAAUAUAGUCUCCCUAUGUGCCCAAGCAGAAGAAACAGGAUUGUGUGACUCUACAAUGUGUGAUUGCUCCUGGUGAAUCAAAAGGAUAAAGCUGCUGAUUCUGCAAUUUGAUAACCCAACCAUGCUGACCUCAAAGUGUAGUCAAUCCAUGAAGUUCCUCCCACCACAGCUCAUCCUGAACACUGCCCACCUGAGUCAUCAAGAAAGGUUUAAGUACAUUAUCUGUGCUCUGUUUAAUAUGUCCGUGAAGUGUGUCCUAAAUUUAGUUAUUUCUAGGACCUCUUUCUAGUUUGCAAGUAAGCCAGGUUCUACUGCUGUCAAGUGUUACUCAUGGCUAACUGAGGAAAAGGGGUUCAAAAACAUUGAGAAGACGAAAAGGAGGGAGAAGGCUGGGUUAAUGGGGACGGAGGUAAGGGGUGAGACCCCGGCUAAACAGUGAAGAUAAAAACAGACAUGUAAAUGAGAGAACCGGAAGAGAAGGUAAUGGUGAAAGUCAAUACGGGAAGGAAAGGGGUUGUAGGGGACAAACACUGAGAGGGCAAGAACUUGGAGUAGGUGAAACUAAGGUGAGCGAGGAGGCUGAAGAGAGGUCAGCUGCAGCGGGAAAGAGGGAAGGGCCCUUUAAGAGACACAUCAAGCCGCAGGUGUGGGCCACGAGGCUGGCGCAGGGCUGUCGCUUCACGCGCCGCAGACUCAUCCAGAAGCGCCUUGGGAGCUGCGGAGCCCUAGAGCCUCCAUCCGGGCAGCAAAGCAGCUCACGUGUCCCACCCGGGAAGGGCAGGAGUGGGCGAGGAAUGGUGGAGGGAAAGGAGGGAAAGCGGAGAAACAGGAGGGAGGGGGAAAGCUGCCGCUGCAGAAAAGAAACGAGUAAGCCCCUUUGUGCUUGGCCUGCGAGGUGUUUCCUUCCCGAGCAGACUUGAAGCUGUCACCUCUCAGUCUGGGUUUGGAAUAAAUACACUCGCCCACCGAGAGAUGAGGCGGCGCCUGGCCGCACCUGGGAGGUACCUGGUCGCACCUGGAAGUGCCUGGUCUCCCCUGGCAGGUACCUGGCC